rnacentral:rRNA from 1 species
CCUACGGGGGGCUGCAGUGGGGAAUAUUGGACAAUGGGCGAAAGCCUGAUCCAGCCAUGCCGCGUGUGUGAAGAAGGCCUUCGGGUUGUAAAGCACUUUCAGUGGGGAAGAAAGCCUUGGGGCUAAUACCCUCGAGGAAGGACAUCACCCACGGAAGAAGCACCGGCUAACUCCGUGCCAGCAGCCGCGGUAAUACGGAGGGUGCGAGCGUUAAUCGGAAUUACUGGGCGUAAAGCGCGCGUAGGCGGUCUGAUAAGCCGGUUGUGAAAGCCCCGGGCUCAACCUGGGAACGGCAUCCGGAACUGUCAGGCUAGAGUGCAGGAGAGGAAGGUAGAAUUCCCGGUGUAGCGGUGAAAUGCGUAGAGAUCGGGAGGAAUACCAGUGGCGAAGGCGGCCUUCUGGACUGACACUGACGCUGAGGUGCGAAAGCGUGGGUAGCAAACAGGAUUAGAUACCCGAGUAGUC